rnacentral:rRNA from 1 species
GGAGCCUCAAUACACGCAGUUCAACCGUCACCGCUCGGUCCUUUCUCGGUAGAGCGCCCGACCGUGUUCCGGCAGUCGAAGCCGGCUGGGAAGGGACCACCUUCUGUCAAAAGGAGGGGGUGUUAUAGCCAUGCCGCGUGGAGCUUGCUGGGAGACCGAGGAAAUGCCGUGUCCCGCCUGCCUUCGGCCCUCGUCGUUCGAUCAAAUUGAGUGUACUGCUUGCAGUGCUCUCUAAGCGCGGAUUUGGCGAUCGGCUGGAUGGCACGGGUGCACUCAGGGUCAGUGGCGAAUCGGUCGGCCCUCCACCCGACCCGUCUUGAAACACGGACCAAGGAGUCUAACAUGUGCGCGAGUCAUGGGGUUCUACGAAACCUAAAGGCACAAUGAAAGUGAAGGCAGCCUCGGGUUUUGCCUAGGUAGGAUCCUCUCCUCCGGGGAGAGGUGCACUACCGGCCCGUCUCGUCCGCCAUUGGUCGGUGAGGCGGAGCAAGAGCGUACACGUUGGGACCCGAAAGAUGGUGAACUAUGCCUGAGUAGGACGAAGCCAGAGGAAACUCUGGUGGAGGUCCGUAGCGA